rnacentral:rRNA from 1 species
GAGCGGUAGAGAGAAGCUUGCUUCUCUUGAGAGCGGCGGACGGGUGAGUAAUGCCUAGGAAUCUGCCUGGUAGUGGGGGAUAACGUUCGGAAACGGACGCUAAUACCGCAUACGUCCUACGGGAGAAAGCAGGGGACCUUCGGGCCUUGCGCUAUCAGAUGAGCCUAGGUCGGAUUAGCUAGUUGGUGGGGUAAUGGCUCACCAAGGCGACGAUCCGUAACUGGUCUGAGAGGAUGAUCAGUCACACUGGAACUGAGACACGGUCCAGACUCCUACGGGAGGCAGCAGUGGGGAAUAUUGGACAAUGGGCGAAAGCCUGAUCCAGCCAUGCCGCGUGUGUGAAGAAGGUCUUCGGAUUGUAAAGCACUUUAAGUUGGGGGGAAGGGUUGUAGAUUAAUACUCUGCAAUUUUGACGUUACCGACAGAAUAAGCACCGGCUAACUCUGUG